rnacentral:rRNA from 2 species
GGAGUGGGUUGCAAAAGAAGUAGGUAGCUUAACCUUCGGGAGGGCGCUUACCACUUUGUGAUUCAUGACUGGGGUGAAGUCGUAACAAGGUAACCGUAGGGGAACCUGCGGUUGGAUCACCUCCUUACCUUAAAGAA